GUAGGGUGCGAGCGUUGUCCGGAAUUAUUGGGCGUAAAGGGCUCGUAGGCGGUCUGUCGCGUCGGGAGUGGAAACUCAGGGCUCAACCCUGUUCGUGCUUCCGAUACGGGCAGACUAGAGGUAGGCAGGGGAGAACGGAAUUCCUGGUGUAGCGGUGGAAUGCGCAGAUAUCAGGAGGAACACCGGUGGCGAAGGCGGAUCUCUGGGCCGAUACUGACGCUGAGGAGCGAAAGCAUGGGGAGCGAACAGGAUUAGAUACCCUGGUAGUCCAUGCCGUAAACGUUGGGAACUAGGUGUGGGCGACAUUCCACGUCGUCCGUGCCGCAGCUAACGCAUUAAGUUCCCCGCCUGGGGAGUACGGCCGCAAGGCUA
rnacentral:rRNA from 1 species